GCCGAGGUGGCGGAACUGGCAGACGCGUCGGUCUCAAAAACCGAUGUCCGCAAGGACGUUCGGGUUCGACUCCCGAUCUCGGCACCA
rnacentral:tRNA from 1 species